GAUUCGCGUGUAUGGUCAAUUAUUUUUUAUAGGUUCUUCUUUCCUGCCCGGACCCCAAAAAUCUUAAAACCCAACUAUUGAUUUGUUUUCUUGCUAGAAAAAUCUGGACAUUAAUAUUUAUUUUAAUUUGAAAAACCAAUUCUUUUAGAACUAUUUUCCGUUUUUUUUCCUCUCUCGUUCACCACCAAUUCUCUCUAUGGUGAAUCGAAGUAACAGAACCAAUUCUCUCGUUCACCAUCUUCAUCAAGAUUCUGCUUUGAAAGUGUUGUUUAGAGAUUGCGUUUGAGAGAGAGGGUUUGAAGAUUGCGUUUUCUGCUGGGUUUCCAGUUUUCGCGGUUGGUUGUCUCGUUGAUUGCAGAAAGUGUUUAGAGAUUUAGUGAUUUCGAUUUUGAUUCAUCAUCAAUUUCUCCUAUUCUUCUUCAUCUUUUGUCUGUGGUGAAACACUGUGUUUGUAGUAGCAGUUUUAGGGUUUCAAUUGUGGUUCUUUUAGAGUUUUCUUUUUUAAUUAGGGAUUUGAUAGUUGGUUUGGUUUCGGGAAUUUGAAGCAGUGGUGUUUCAUCAAUUGAAGAUUUAGGGGAGUUUAAAACCACUAGUUCUCCAUCCUCAGCGGUACAAGGGUGUUGUUUUGGGUUUUGAAGAAGUUGCACCACCAAUUGGUAUGCUGGAUUUUGAUGGUUGUAAUAAUGGUGUGAGAGGCAGGGGUUUUGUAAGGAGUUCUUUAUUCCCACACAUCAAAGGUAAACAUUUUGUCCAUGGUGCUGAACAUGAUAGAUGCAGGGACAGAAUUUCACAGAAUGGUGCGGUCUUUGCUUUAUGGGAAGAUGCUCUUCUGCAACUUAAAAUGUGGUUGUGUACCAAGUGUAUGCAUAUCCAAGCUUGGAGUAAGCCCUGCAAGUCACAUGAUGGUGAUGCAAUUUCUGCUCUUAAUGGCAGGGAGGCAUCUUUCCUUAUCCAUGGUAUUUCUAAACCACUUGACAAGGUAAGUCAUUGUGUUGAUGAAGAUAUAACUGAUGGUGGUCAUAGUAUGCAAUGUUGUGAUGUUGAUUUAUUAAAUAAAGUGUUUCAAGCUCAGUUCCAUACUAUUAGACAUAUACCCAUCAAAUGUAAGUUAAGUUUCUCUAGGACUUUCAAACAAACUAUGGACAAAGUUAUACUUAAUCCAUUAGACAUUUCUUGCUGGAUUAAAUUAUUACUUUUUCCAAUAUGUGUUAUGAGAAAUUACAUUCCUAAAUGCAAGGAUGAAGAGAGAUCUGGUAUGCGUAAGAGGUUACAAAUUGCUUCUAUAAGUCAGGCCUUAGCUAAAUGGCAUGAGGCAGAUGGUUGUUCUUCCUUAAUUCUGGAUCUUUUGGCUGAACAUGUUAAUUCUACUAAGCAUAGAAUUUUCACUCCUAAAGAUAACCUAGUAGAUAUCAAUCUUAAACUGUGUAAAAGGAAGUUAAGUCAGGGUUCGUAUACUGCUGCUAUUAGGGUGCUUACUUCCAAUGGUGUAUCUCCCUUCUCUGAUGAGACUUUGGAGGAUUUGCAGUUUAAACAUCCUUUCGCACCGCCGCCUACUUUGCCUGAUGCAUCUAAUGAGGUUGUUGCUGCAAAUGUUAGUACAGAUAUUGUUCUAAGCAGGAUUAGAAGUUUUCCUAAGGGCACUUCAUGUGGCAGGGACAGUCUUCAUGCUCAACAUUUUUUCGAUGUACUUAGUGGGCCUGCUGCAGCUGUUGCUGAUGAUGUGCUAGCUUCCAUCACUACUAGUGUUAAUCUCCUUUUAGCUGGUAACUGUUCGCCUCAACUUGGUAUGUUUUUCGCUAGUGCCCUUCUUACACCCUUGCUUAAACCUGGAGGUGGGAUUAGACCUAUCGUUGUCGGUACCAUAUGGAGACGGUUAGUCUCUAAAGUCGUUAUCUUUACUAUUAGUAAGGAAAUGACAAGUUAUUUGAAAGAUUUCCAAUUCAGUGUAGGUGUACCUUGUGGAGGAGAAGCUAUUUUACACUCUGUAAACCGCAUCUUAUAUGAGAAACAUGAUUUGAAUUUUACGUUCAUGCUUUUGGUCGAUUUCAAAAAUGCUUUUAAUCUAGUAGACAGGUCAGCUAUGUUGUGUGUUGUGCUUCUUAAAUGUCCUAGUCUAUAUGGAUGGGUUCAAUUUUUUUAUGCUUCGCCUGCCAAGUUGUACUAUGGCACUUCUACUUUGUCAUCUGCACAGGGUGUACAGCAAGGAGACCCUUUGGGUCCCCUCCUUUUCGCUUUGAAUUUGCAUCCCAUUGUUUUGAAAAUCUCUGAGCAGUGCAAACUUGACUUGCAGGCUUGGUAUUUAGAUGAUGGUACCAUUAUAGGAGAUACAAUGAUGGUCUCUAAGGCUUUUCACAUCAUCAAAAGUGAAGGUGUUGCUGUAGGACUUGACCUAAACAUUCAAAAAACUGAACUUUUUUGGCCUUCUUUUGGUAAGAGGAGUACUCAGGUCGGUGUUUUUCCAGCUGACAUUGGAAGACCUUCUGUGGGGGUUAAACUUCUUGGUGGUCCUGUAAGUUUGGAUGCUUUUUUUUGCAGUCAGCUUGUUCUUGACAAAGUGCACAAGACUUUAAUAAAUGUUGUUCAUCGGCUACAUGACCCGCAGAGUGAAUUGUUGUUGCUUCGAAAUUGUGCAGGUUAUGGUUUGUUACAACAUAGGAUUGUCUCUUUACCAAUACGAGAUGGUGGCUUAGGGAUCUAUACUGUGUUCGAUACUAUGAAGUAUUGUUACUUGGCAUCUUGUGCACAGACCUUACAUCUAUAGGAGAAUAUGCUACAAGGUUCAGAUUUUCCGGUUAAAGGUUUAGCAUAUCAAACUGCCUUUGACAAUUUCCUUCAGGUUAGCGGUAUUACGUCGUCACAGUGUUGCAAUCUCAUUACUUCCCCCCAUCCUAUGCAUGCUUUGGCAGUUCAGUACUUUGCAGCUGAUGGACUUGGAAAGAAAAUUGGGCCACGUCAGUUUAGUGCAGUACUUGGUUAUCGUCUUGGUAUUUCUUUGUUUGUUGUUAAUAGUUUUUGUCUUUGCUGCAAUAGCGGUAUGGAUGUCUAUGGUGAUCACGCACUUCAUUGUGCUUGUGAAGUUGAUUAUAAAUUUAGACAUGAUCUUGUUAGAGAUAUACCUUUGCGAAUAUUUGUUACCAUGCGAAUGUACCUUCUAGAGUUGAAGCUUAUUUGGGGUUUCUUUCUCAUGAUGGCGGUGAUGCUAAGCCGGCUGAUAUCUUAGUCUACAAUUGGGAGGAAGGGCGUGAUACGUGUUUUGAUGUGACAGGGGUUUCCCCUUUUGUUGGGGGUGGUGUGCAAGCUUUUGUACCGGGCCUCGCCUUGGCUAAAUCCGUUGAUCGCAAGAAGAUUAAUACCUUGAUGUAUGUAAUUCCAAUGGUUAUAAUUUUGGUACCUUAGGCUUUACUACUUUAGGUGAACUUGGUAUCGAAACUAUUGAAUUUUUGAAACGUUUGAAGCAUUACAUAGCUAGGUAUGAUGUAAAUAUAAAUGUUCAUAAUUUUCUUUUUA